rnacentral:rRNA from 1 species
GAAUUCACUAGUGAUUCAGGCCUAACACAUGCAAGUCGAGCGCUCACCUUCGGGUGGGAGCGGCGCACGGGUGAGUAACACGUGGGAACCUACCUUGAAGUACGGAAUAACUGAGGGAAACUUCAGCUAAUACCGUAUACGCCCUACGGGGGAAAGAUUUAUCGCUUCAAGACGGGCCCGCGUUGGAUUAGCUAGUUGGUGAGGUAACGGCUCACCAAGGCAACGAUCCAUAGCUGAUUUGAGAGAAUGAUCAGCCACACUGGGACUGAGACACGGCCCAGACUCCUACGGGAGGCAGCAGUGGGGAAUAUUGGACAAUGGGCGCAAGCCUGAUCCAGCCAUGCCGCGUGAGUGAUGGAGGCCUUCUGGUUGUAAAGCUCUUUCAGAUGGGACGAUGAUGACGGUACCAUCAGA